GAAGGACGUAAGUGAACGAAAACUAGGGUAAGCUCACAAAAAGCAAGGACCCCUAGGUAUCCGAAUGGGGAAACCCGUCUGUGGAAGACACAGACAUCAUAAAGUAAAUACAUAGCUUUAUGAAGUAAGACCCUGCGAACUGAAACAUCUAAGUAGCAGGAGGAAAAGAAAGAAAACUCGAUUUUCCAAGUAGCGGCGAGCGAACAGAAAACAGCCCAACCCAGUAAGAAAUAUAUAAUCUAGUUAAAUCAUUUGGGAAGAUGAACCAAAGAAAGUGACAGUCUUGUAAACAAAAGAAAAUAUAUUGUGGGGGCAAGUAGCAGUGAACACGAGAAAUUUGCUGUGAAGAUAGGGGGACCAUCCCCUAAGGCUAAAUACUAACAUGUGACCGAUAGCGAACAAGUACCGUGAGGGAAAGGUGAAAAGAACC
rnacentral:rRNA from 15 species